rnacentral:misc_RNA from 1 species
CCGAGUUAUACAACUCAUCAACCCUGUGAACAUACCUAUAACGUUGCCUCGGCGGGAACAGACGGCCCCGUAACACGGGCCGCCCCCGCCAGAGGACCCCCUAACUCUGUUUCUAUAAUGUUUCUUCUGAGUAAACAAGCAAUAAAUUA